rnacentral:rRNA from 1 species
GACGAAGGGGGCUAGCGUUGUUCGGAAUUACUGGGCGUAAAGCGCGCGCAGGCGGUCUUUUAAGUCUGAUGUGAAAGCCCCCGGCUCAACUGGGGAGGGUCACUCGAUACUGAUCGACUUGAAGGCGGGAGAGGGAAGCGGAAUUCCCGGUGUAGUGGUGAAAUGCGUAGAUAUCGGGAGGAACACCAGUGGCGAAGGCGGCUUUCUGG